UACGUAGGGGGGCAAGCGUUGUCCGGAUUUAUUGGGCGUAAAGAGCUCGUAGGCGGCUUGGCAAGUCGGGUGUGAAAACUCCAGGCUCAACCUGGAGAUGCCACUCGAGACUGCUAUGGCUAGAGUCCGGUAGGGGACCACGGAAUUCCUGGUGUAGCGGUGAAAUGCGCAGAUAUCAGGAGGAACACCGGUGGCGAAGGCGGUGGUCGUGGGCCGG
rnacentral:rRNA from 1 species